rnacentral:lncRNA from 1 species
CCCUCUCCUUCCUGGGUCGUCGUGGAUCUCGCGAUACUGGAGGUAGCCGCUGUUGUGGCCAUGGACGGCAUCACGGAGUCCCACAACACGCCAGCCGCCUCCGGAGUCCCACAACCCCGGAGCCCAUGGAGAGCUCGACCACAACUCGGCUAGCGCAACGGUGAGUUAUACGGCCAGCUAUGGGAGCCGAUGUUGGGGGAGGAGGGAGGCCUUUGCUGGGAUUGCAUUAGUGCGGUGCGGGUUGAGUUGGAGCUGGCUCCUAGCAGUGCUGGUUCAGGCUGAUGUGUGCGUGCAUAGCCAAACAAAGAAGCAGGCAUCCACUGAGAAAAAUACUCAUUGGAGUUCUCAGGUUGAAGUCAAAUUGACCAGCUACGUGUCAAAGGUAACAUCUAGAUUAUACCUAAGAUGAUGGUUUGAUGUGUUGAUUGGAAGAAAUCGCACACAAUAGAUGCAGUUGGUAUUUUGGAAAUAAAGGCAGCAGUUUACAUUGAGAUCUGGGACUAAUUGGUUAAUAAUUUAUUCAUGUCCCCAACUUGAAUAUUGCAGUCUUUGUCACAAGCUUUGCAAUGGUAUUGAUUCUUUUAAAAGUAGAGCAACCAAGUGUCGAAUUUUGUUUCGCAUCUAUAUAUCUAUUUCGAGAUAAAAAUGAAUGUGGGGCUCAUUAUGUUUCCAGUAUGAGACGUGGCUCGACGGUAUUUACAUCUCCAAUGCCAAGCACACCGAGUUCACUAAAAGCAACAAGCAGGGCAGGGUCAAAGUCAUUAUGUUCACCAUGAUGCAGAUUGCCAUCACAUUCAGACCCAAAGAUCUGGGAACUAUGAACUUGAUUAAAAGGGCAGGGUCAAAGUCAAGACCCGGGUUAGUGGCGACUAUGAUGGUGGCCUGCAGGCUAUGGGUCUAGCAGCGUUGCAGGCAGUAGUGUGCAGCGUUUUACGGUAGGGCGUGUGGCCAAUGCUGGCGGGCUCGCGGCAGCUGCAGAUGGUGGAGUACUGGACUUGUGGUGGGCGUCCAUUCACAAGAUCUACAACAUCAUCUUUGGGUCAGUUCUCCAUGAAGGCCAUCCUGCGAUACAAGGUUGCGUCUUCCUGCUAUUUGGGUGACGACGCCGAGCCUGUCGGCCUAUGCCCAUCGCUCCUGAUGUGGUAAUGUGGCGGUCGUUAUUAUUUGCCUGCAGAGCUUGCGGAGAGGUGGGACUUGCAGAGUAUAUGUAGCAGAAAGGAUCCAAGUAUUGGAGCCAAACAACUGUCUAUGCUACCACAUCAAGGUGUGUUGAUGCAAAUAAAGUGAGGACAGGAAUAUACAGUAGCAGAAAGACCAAGCAGCCUGAUAGCUCUUUCAUUGAACUGGAUGGAUGCGUGCAUGAGUUCUUUGCAGGGAACGAGUCACAUUUUGAAACUGAAACUAUAUACAACACUGUUUUAAGGAUUAAUAAACUGUUAGUAGCAGAGUCCUUCCUGAUGUCAAAGCUAAUACACACCAUACCCCAGUACCUAUGAUUCAAUAAUCUUCUUUUUAUGAAAUGAUGAAACCCGAAGUAUUUCUACGUAUUUGCUUUUCUCUCUGAGGCGGGAAGUUUGUUUUCCAGACAUUUAUGUCAUGAGCAACUUAAUGUGCAACUGAGUGCACAUUGUUAUCCAAAUUUUAUUGGUCUAUCUGAGAUGUUUCCUUCUGGUAUUGCAAUUUGUGCUAGGUAAUACCCAUAGUUUUUGCUGUGAUGUUACUAUGUCAGUAAAUUAGCUGUCCACUGCAUCACUUAUUUGUUCUUCUAUUUUUACUCCGAACUUACUAACCCAGCUUUGGUUUCUCUGGCUUAAGCUAAUCUGGGAGCAGGGUAUCAUGUGCCCGCUCACCUGUUGGUGCGGCUGGUGGAUACAGAGAGAUCAACGAUGAGGAGACCCUCGCCGUUCUUCUGAUUGCAGCCAGUUGCGUGAUGUGAUGGCAGAGUUGUUCUACAACCGCCCAGGGGCCAUGGACGAUGGAGAACUUCCUAACGCAGUAUGCGAGCGGGGACAAUGGAGAACUUCCUGGCGCAGUGUGCGCGCGCGUGGGUUUCAGGACAGUUCAUUGUACAAGGUCAAGCUCAGCUUGGUGUAAGUUCCAAAUAUAUAUUGUGCCUUAGUUUGAGUUGCAUCCACAAGCAGCGCUCACUAAUUCAAAUACACCUUAAAUUGAGUUGGAUCAUUAGUGUUGGACCGUGGACAUAUAUCUAUAUCCGAUUGUACUCCGGGUGUUUUCAG